UUUCCGUAGGUGAACCUGCGGAAGGAUCAUUACUGAGUGGGGGCCCCUCGGGGUCCAACCUCCCACCCGUGUUUAACGAACCUUGUUGCUUCGGCGGGCCCGCCUCACGGCCGCCGGGGGGCAUCUGCCCCCGGGCCCGCCCCCGCCGAACCCACCUGUGAACGCUGUCUGAAGUAUGCAGUCUGAGACAAUUAUUAAAUUAAUUAAAACUUUCAACAACGGAUCUCUUGGUUCCG
rnacentral:misc_RNA from 1 species